rnacentral:rRNA from 1 species
UAGCCGUAAACGAUACUCGCUAGGUGUCGGCCACGGUGCGACCGUUGUCGGUGCCGUAGGGAAGCCGUGAAGCGAGCCACCUGGGAAGUACGGCCGCAAGGCUGAAACUUAAAGGAAUUGGCGGGGGAGCACAACAACGGGUGGAGCUUGCGGUUUAAUUGGAUUCAACGCCGGAAAUCUUACCGGGACCGACAGCAACAUGAAGGCCAGGCUGAAGACUUUGCCGGAUUAGCUGAGAGGUGGUGCAUGGCGUCAGUGACU